AUGAUUGGCCCGCAGCUCGGGCGCAGCAGCCAAUGAGCACACUCUCGGAGAGCGGCGAGGGCAAUAUGGCUUCCUGCACCUGGUGACGGUUGAGGGAAUUGAAUUUGGUAUCAUGGAGAAACCGCGGGGCACUGAGGAGGCGCCAUCUUCAGAGCCAAUGGAAGAGGAGGAGGAAGAUGACUUGGAUCUCUUUGGGGGCUACGACAGCUUCCGGAGUUACAACAGCAGUGCGGGCAGCGAGAGCAGCUCCUACUUGGAGGAGUCAAGUGAAGCAGAGAACGAGGACCGGGAAGCAGGGGAGCUGCCCACCUCACCUCUCCAUCUGUUCAGCUCUGCGAACAACCGCUCCUUGGAUGGAAGUGGUUCUGAGCCAGCUGUCUGUGAGAUGUGUGGUAUCGUGGGCACAAGAGAAGCUUUCUUCUCAAAGACCAAGAGGUUCUGCAGCGUCUCGUGUUCCAGGAGCUACUCCUCCAACUCCAAGAAAGCCAGUAUCCUGGCUAGACUACAGGGAAAGCCACCCACCAAGAAAGCCAAAGUCCUGCACAAGGCAGCCUGGUCUGCCAAAAUUGGAGCCUUUCUCCAUGCCCAGGGAACAGGACAACUAGCAGAUGGGACACCCACUGGACAAGAUGCUCUGGUCCUGGGCUUCGACUGGGGCAAGUUCCUGAAGGAUCAUAGUUACAAGGCUGCUCCUGUCAGCUGCUUUAAACAUGUACCCCUCUAUGACCAGUGGGAAGACGUCAUGAAGGGGAUGAAGGUGGAAGUGCUCAACAGCGAUGCUGUGCUCCCCAGCCGGGUGUACUGGAUCGCCACUGUCAUCCAGGCAGCUGGGUACCGGGUGCUGCUCCGAUAUGAAGGCUUUGAAAAUGACGCCAGUCAUGACUUCUGGUGCAACUUGGGAACUGUGGAUGUCCACCCCAUUGGGUGGUGUGCCAUCAACAGCAAGAUCCUGGUACCUCCACGGACCAUCCAUGCCAAGUUUACUGACUGGAAGAGCUACCUCAUGAAGCGGUUGGUGGGUUCCAGGACACUUCCUGCAGACUUCCAUAUCAAGAUGGUGGAAAGCAUGAAGUACCCUUUCCGACAGGGCAUGCGCUUAGAGGUUGUAGACAAGACUCAGGUGUCACGUACCCGCAUGGCCGUGGUGGACACAGUAAUCGGGGGUCGCCUCCGGCUCCUCUAUGAGGAUGGUGACAGUGAUGACGACUUCUGGUGCCAUAUGUGGAGUCCCCUGAUCCACCCAGUGGGUUGGUCCCGGCGUGUUGGCCACGGCAUCAAGAUGUCAGGUCAGUAGAACCCCUGGCUGUUGCGACUCCAGGUUCAGCCUCCCCCUAAAGAUCAGCAGGACCUUUGCUGUGCCCCACAGUAGUGCGAUGAAGUGGCCUGUCAUUGCUACCCUGCAAGUGACAAUGUUGAGGAUCAGAGAGGCCAGUGACUCAGGUCACUCAGCUCAGUAUGAACAGCAAAACCAAGAUGUAACACAGAUGGUAUUGCCACUGGCCCAGAACCAGAGAGCCUGGAUCCCCCAUGCUGCAUAGUCCGCACUACUGCUCCAGGGUCCUCUGUUUUCCCAUUUAGGGAAGCAGCUGGGGCACAACUGAGAACAAAGACAGACGAUGUGACAUGUCUCAUCACCCCACCUUCCGGAAAAUCUACUGUGAUGCUGUACCUUACCUCUUCAAGAAGGUCCGCGCUGUCUACACAGAAGGUGGCUGGUUCGAGGAAGGAAUGAAACUAGAGGCCAUUGACCCUCUGAAUCUGGGCAGUAUCUGUGUAGCAACCAUCUGCAAGGUGCUCUUGGAUGGUUACCUGAUGAUCUGUGUGGAUGGGGGGCCCUCCACGGAUGGCUCCGAUUGGUUCUGCUACCACGCCUCCUCCCAUGCCAUCUUCCCAGCCACCUUCUGCCAAAAGAAUGACAUUGAGCUCACACCCCCAAAAGGGUAUGAGACACAGCCUUUUGCCUGGGAGACCUACUUAGAGAAGACCAAGUCAAAAGCUGCUCCAGCAAGACUCUUUAACAUGGACUGCCCCAACCAUGGCUUCAAGGUGGGCAUGAAGCUGGAGGCUGUGGACCUGAUGGAGCCCCGGCUCAUCUGUGUGGCCACUGUGAAGCGGGUGGUGCAUCGGCUCCUCAGCAUCCACUUCGACGGCUGGGACAAUGAGUAUGAUCAGUGGGUGGACUGCGAAUCCCCGGACAUCUACCCUGUCGGCUGGUGUGAGCUCACCGGCUACCAGCUCCAGCCGCCUGUGUCCGCAGAACCAAACACACCUCAGAAAGGCAAGGACACCACAAAGAAGAAGAAGAAACAGUUUGGGAAGAAAAGGAAAAGAAUCCCAUCAGCCAAGACUCGGCCCCUCAGACAGGGCUCCAAGAAACCCUUACUGGAGGACAACCUUGAGGCUUUGGGGGUCUCGGAACCAGUUCCUGAUGACAUUAUCGCUGUGUGUGUGAAGGAGGAGCACCAGGACAUUUCCUCGCUUGACAGGUCGCCCAGUCCACAGCUGCCUCUUCCCAUUGAGAGCAUCAAGCAGGAGAGGAACAACUGAGACUUCCCUGGCAUCAGCCUGGACCCUAACUGAAGCCAAGCAUGGAGCAGAGAGGAGGCCCGGCUUUACUGCUGUGCAGUGAAUGGACAGCCUGGCGUUCCAGGGCUGCCUCUGCCCUCUGGCUGGCACUCAUUGCACCCUCAGCACACUGGAAAACUAGACUGGUCCCCAUGGUCUACCCAGGCAAGUGGUAGAAGUAAGGUUACGGAGCAGCCGACGCUGGGUGAGGACGGAGCCACCUCCGCCCAAAAUAAAUUGAGGGUCAUGUACCUCCUGGGGGCACCCUGCACCGCCUGAUGUCCCAGGGGCCCCACUGUGGCAGGGAAUUGACCAAGUAGCGGGCUCGAGAGAUUUGGGUUUGGGCCUUGACCUCAGGGAUAACAAGAACACUGACUUCCUUUCUGAGAGGGAACAGCUGGGAAGAUGUACAGGGACCUGAGCCCCUAAGGGAGACUCGGGCCAGGCUACUUGCUGUCAGGUACAGGAUCAGACAGUAGUUUGGUCCAUGUAGUCGGGGAACUGCCUGAGAGAGACCAUCCUUCUCUAGAGCGGGGCUUGGGCUAACUAACAUUCCCUCUCCCUGCCUGGCUAGCCCAGCCACUGCUCAGCCCCUUCACAGCAUCUGGCCUUUGGUUUUCUCACUUGGACACAUUUUUGUUUUAUUUUUGAGACAGGGUCUAUGUAGUACUUGCUGUUCUGGGGCUUGGUAUGCAGCCCAUGCAGAUUCUAAACCGGUAGGGAUCCCCCUGCCUCUGCCUUCCGAGGCCUGUGCACCCAGCCCCCGGCUAGACAGUUUGGCCUGGCCCUCCAGGAUCAUCCUGAACAGCCCUGGGGCUCCUGCAGUGCCCCUGUGUCUGACUGGGAUUUGGACUGAAGCAGUGAGGCCAGUGGCUCCCUACGGCUGUGGCUGUGCCGUGUGGCCAUCUCUGGGCCUACGCCAGUCAAGUCUUGUUCAUCCCUGAGGGGAGAUGUGAGUGGCCAGUCAUCAUGGACUGGGCAGGUUCUGAGAGAAGUUGGUCUUGAUCUAUCCGCUAAAGAUAGCCCACCCUGUGCAGAAUCUAGGCCAUGAAAGAGGCCUUUGCCUGCCUGCUCUCCUCAAAGGGAAGAAGAUGAAAGUCCACAGUAAAAGGCAGGUUCAAUUCCCAGCACCCACUCACAGCACCUGCAUCGUGAGCGCCAAGGGAGCCUGGGCCUCUGGUUUCCGUGGAUACAAAUGUGCACAUCCUUAAAUGUAAAUAAAAAUAAAAUCUUUGAAGAAAACAA